rnacentral:ncRNA from 1 species
ACUUCAGGGCAGGGUGAAAUUCCCUACCGGCGGUAAAGCCCGCGAGCGAAAGCUGAUUUGGUGAAAUUCCAAAGCCGACAGUAAAGUCUGGAUGAAAGAAGU